AAGCCUGAAGUUGUACUCAAGGAUGCUUCAGUGCUGGGUCCAGUUACCGGAGUUAAGCUUGCUGCUGUGGUGUCCACGAAAUUACAUCCAGGAACGGGUUGGCCAAGUAACCAUCGCUAUCGAAGGAGUAGUCUCGACCACCAAGCGUGAUGUUGCUGAAAUACCUGCAUUACAAUGGACAUGGACACAAGGAGAAGGCAGACAAUAGCUGCAGUGAGCGCCUGUGGCGACUCUGGAAGAGUGAGUCGCAAGAGAGGAAGGAGCCCCGCUCGAGGUAGAAGUCGGUUUCUGGCAUCCACGCCUCUCUGAGCUCCUCUCCCACUGAACUCCAAUGGAGGCAGCGUGCCAGACCUUGUGCUGCAUCGGAUCUGCUGGAGAAAUGUGAAUGGGGAAGGAGUCUGGAGUGUGGAGUGUGGAGUUGUGGAAGUGCAGUGUUCAGCGGUGUGUUUUGCCCACACCGGAGCUCUGCUGCUUCAUUCCAGUCUGUCAUGCAGAGUAAUGGACCUGCUCCCUGCUGCCUAUGGCACACGCUGCACUGAAUCAGCCCAGGCAGUUUUCUACAGCCUACACAAAACAUCCAAAAUAUAUGCAGGCUAAUAUAUAGUCUGUACUGUACACCAUUAGAAGAGAUUGCAGCGUCUCCGCGAGUCACUGUAAGCGCCAAGAAUAAGAAGACCCUCCCUUGAAGAUGAAGACUCCAUUUUUUUCCUCAUUCGUCCACUUUUAAGACCGCAGUGUGCUCGAGAAGACAGCUGUAUGUAGCCUCUAUAAUUUCUUUGGGUCCAUGGCUGUACUAUAGUAAAAGAUAAGAUAAAGUGCCAGCGCAGUGUGGUGCCUACAGUGUAUAUGUGAGUGUAUCAAUGUGUGUGUGUCUGUGUGUCAUGCGGGGGUAAUAUGGCAGUGUGGGGGAGCGGAGGAAUGAAGAGAAGAGUGCAGCUGGAGCUCAAUGCUCCUCGUGUUAAUUGGCCCAUACUUCAAUCACAGCCACUGGAGUGUGUCCUCUCUGACGGAACAUAUCCUCUCUCCCUCUCCCAAUCUUUCUCUCUUUCUGUCUCUCUGUCCUGCUGCACUUGUUCACCCACUCAUCCACUCGCUCACACACUCUCGCUUGACGCGCACACACACACUCACUUGCAGACGCACUCCCUCACUCAGUCUGUUUCACUCACUCAGUCACUUGAUUUGGUCACUUGUUCAUUCAUCCUUUCAUUCGCUGUCGCCUCGCUCUGCUCUGCACCGUCUCACUUCCACCAACUCCUCACUCUUUCUCCCUCUCCUCCCACAACUCCUUGCCUGUUUUUUUUCCCCCCCUCCUUGCCCAUCUUUUUCUCUCUACUUCCUCCCCUCCCUCAUUUCCUCUCUCACCCUAUCUCUCUCUUUCUCUGUCUUUGAUCCAUGUCGAGCAGAAGAGCCACCAGGCAGGCGAACAGCUCUCGUUCCCAUUGUGCAUAGUGUGCAGAGUGAUCGGCGAGUAGCGCAGCGUGCAGCAGCAGGGCGUACAGUACUGUGUGUUUUUUACUGCAUGACUGUAAACAGCACUGGUAAAGCCUGCUGUUGCUGCCGCUGCCUCCCUGAAACUUGAUAGCCGUGGCUAUCAUAAGCCAUUCUGGUGACAGAGUCAGAGCCAUCCAUCAAACCCUUUUGACGCCCAGGUCCUCACAGGGAAAUGCAGCACGCAAUAUUUGUAAAUUACGCAUGCCACAGGCUGAUAACCAGAUCAGAGCUGCCCGCUGACACCAUUUUUUAUGUGGAACAGUUACAUUUUAGAGGCUAGUUGAUAUGAAUAUGAAAAAUUAAUCGUGGUUUACAAAUUUAAGACAAAUAGAAGACACACAACUGUCCAAAGGUGUGUUUUUUCAACCAGGAAGAAUAUUGAAAUUGCACUCUUUCUUUUUAUUCUUUUAAACAAAUAAAUACUGUAGAAGAAAAUGAAACUACAGUGUUGUACCUUCAGGCCUUCACAUUCUCUACCGUAUCUACCUGCAAAUGCAAAAAAAAAUAUUUCAUAUAAACUCUUACAGGAGAGAGGAAAGUGAAAUCUCCACCGGCUCUGCAUGACCCUCGUUUCUAGCUAGUCUCCAUUUGUCCAUUCUGUAUUUUGUAACCUUUUACAAGAGCAAAAUGAAACAUUCACCUUGACAUCUCACUUUGAUGUUUCUUCACAGCAAAAACGGCAUUUCAUUCUGACAUUUCUCGUCCCUAUAAUUUCCAUGUGGUCGUACAAAACGCGCCUCACUCCAAGGUUCAGAGGAUCUCGCCUUUUAUUCAAAUAUUUUUUUUCAUUGCGUUCGGAUUAAGCGCUUCUGCCAAGAGACAGUGUCAAUUAAUUGGACUUCACUUCUGUACAUUCUGGGGAUAAAUUUCAUUACUUGAAUGGAAGGACACUCCUUGUUUCUCUUCCCUCUAUGGAUUGAUGGAAAUGAGAUGAAGCUGACCCCGGACCCUGCCACAGUGUCGCUCUGACAAUUCUCUGACCUCAUUUUUGAACAAAAAAGAAAAUGUCUUAGUCCUACUACCCAGUGGUUUCUGGCACACGAGACAAGAAAAGCAGUGACUGGAAAUCACAUCCAUUACAGAUGAUUAUUACUCAAAUAUUUGACAUUACCACAUCUCAUCUCUCUAACUCAGGGUAUAUAAUUACCUAAGUGGAGAAUGUGUUUAAUUUAGCUUUAAUAUAACUUCACACAUGUCUCGUAAUUGCUAGUAAUACUCGAGUAUGAACUCAUGUAACCUGAGAGACAAAUCAGCUGAUAAAAAUA